GAUGAACGCUGGCGGCGUGCCUAAUACAUGCAAGUCGAGCGAACGGACGAGAAGCUUGCUUCUCUGAUGUUAGCUGCGGACGGGUGAGUAACACGUGGCUAACCUACCUAUAAGACUGGGAUAACUUCGGGAAACCGGAGCUAAUACCGGAUGAUAUUUUGAACCGCAUGGUUCAAAAGUGAAAUACGGUCUUGCUGUCACUUAUAGAUGGAUCCGCGCUUCGUUAGCUAGUUGGUAAGGUAACGGCUUACCAAUGCAACGAUGCAUAGCCGACCUGAGAGGGUGAUCGACCAAAAUGGAAGUGAGAAACGGUCCAGACACCUACGGGAAGAAGCAGUAGGGAAUCUUCAGCGAUGGGAGAAAGCCUGACGGAAAAACGCGGCGUGAGUGAUGAAGGUCUUCGGAUCAUAAAACUCUGUUAUUAGGGAAGAACAUAUGUGGAAGUAACUGUGCACAUAUUGACGGUACCAAAUCAGAAAGCAACGGCUAACUACGGG
rnacentral:rRNA from 1 species